rnacentral:rRNA from 1 species
AUGACCUCAAAUCAGAUGAGACUACCCGCUGAACUUAAGCAUAUCGUUGUAAAUUGAAGAGAGUGUCAUCCACACUGGACCAUGUCUAAAUUGUAUGAUCCACAGUCCUUUGAU